CGGAAGCUCCCACGGCCCACAGCGCGGAAGCCCCUGCCGCCCCCCCCCCCCUCCCCACGAGAGUUCUGAACUGCUCCGCCGUACUUCUGGGGCCGCGAAGGUAGAAAAUGGCAUCCCGCCUCGCUGGUGGAAGGCUGCGCCGUAGCAGGCGAGGACACUUGAGAAGACCCUCAGACAUCCCUGAAGGUGCCGACCUCCCUGUCUUACCUGUCUUCCAAUCAACUAAUGUGUACUGGGGAGCUGCGUUUUGAGGAGGUCCUCCACAUGUGGUGAAGAGUGUCUUUUGCGCUCGGCUCUCAGCUGCGCAAAGAAUGGCUUCUCACAAACUGCUCAGAAGGUCCCCAGUCCCGCAGACAUCUUCACCAAACCGAGCCACAGAAAGAGGGCUCACGGAACUCCUUACUGCCGCUUUGAGCCCGCAUAUCUAAUUGUCCGCAUCACACGAAUGGUGUCAUAAUACUAAUACGAGUGAAACCAAACCUUUUUUUUCAUUUAUGUUUGGAAAGUCACGGAUAGAGUAACCCAAAUAUUAUGGCAGAUUUGUUUCAUACUUGGUCUGACUGUCCCCACUGCGUUCUGAGUUGCAAAGCGCAAGCAUUUCCUAUUCUUUGGUUUUGCUGCCACCUUGCGGUCCGACCUGCAAACUGAAACGGCAAGCAUUCACACAAGAGGACUGGCGCAAGACGCCGUGACGUUUAAUUGCAUUAAAUGUUGUAAGAUCUUACUUGUAACUGGGUAAUUAGGUUACAGUUCGCGUUGAUGGUAACUCCUCUCCUGAUGCGUCAUUUUCUGCACAGAUGUUUCACAAGCGGGCUCUCAACUGAAGACACGCCAGGCAACUUUUGAAUUUGUUGCGUUCGCAGACUCAAAUGCUGAUUCGACCCGGCCUGACUCCAGAGUUUGCGUCGGCGUGGGGAGGAACACGAAUCCUGCUGCUC